GAUGAACGCUGGCGGCGUGCCUAAUACAUGCAAGUCGAGCGAAUGGAUUAAGAGCUUGCUCUUAUGAAGUUAGCGGCGGACGGGUGAGUAACACGUGGGUAACCUGCCCAUAAGACUGGGAUAACUCCGGGAAACCGGGGCUAAUACCGGAUAACAUUUUGAACCGCAUGGUUCGAAAUUGAAAGGCGGCUUCGGCUGUCACUUAUGGAAGGACACGCGUCGCAUUAGCUAGUUGGUGAGGUAACGGCUCACCAAGGCAACGAUGCGUAGCCGACCUGGGAGGGUGAUCGGCCACGCUGGGACUGAGACACGGCCCAGACUCCUACGGGAGGCAGCAGUAGGGAAUCUUCCGCAAUGGACGAAAGUCUGACGGAGCAACGCCGCGUGAGUGAUGAAGGCUUUCGGGUCGUAAAACUCUGUUGUUAGGGAAGAACAAGUGCUAGUUGAAUAAGCUGGCACCUUGACGGUACCUAACCAGAAAGCCACGGCUAACUACGUGCCAGCCGCCGCUGUAA
rnacentral:rRNA from 1 species